UACAGAGGGGGCAAGCGUUGUUCGGAAUUACUGGGCGUAAAGGGCGCGUAGGCGGCCGCCUAAGUCAGACGUGAAAUCCCUCGGCUCAACCGGGGAACUGCGUCUGAUACUGGGUGGCUUGAAUUCGGGAGAGGGAUGCGGAAUUCCAGGUGUAGCGGUGAAAUGCGUAGAUAUCGGGAGGAACACCAGUGGCGAAGGCGGCUUUCUGGCCCAUUCUUGACGCUGAGGCGCGAAAGCUAGGGUAGCAAACGGG
rnacentral:rRNA from 1 species